GAGACCCACGCCAACAGUUGCCAGCAUGUCCUCCGGGAUGGUGGGGACACUGUUGGGACCGCCUCUGCUAAAGAGGAGGAAGGAAUGGGCAACGGUAGGUCAGCAUGCCCCGAAUUAUCCGGGCUACACGCGGGCUACAAUGGGCAGGACAAUGGGCUCCGACACCGAAAGGUGAAGGCAAUCUCUUAAACCUGUUCGUAGUUCGGAUUGCGGGUUGCAACUCGCCCGCAUGAAGCUGGAAUCUGUAGUAAUCGCGUCUCAAAAUGGCGCGGUGAAUAU
rnacentral:rRNA from 1 species